ensembl:lncRNA
AAAAGAAAAGAAAAGAAAAGAAAAGAAAAGAAAAGGAAUGUAAAUGCCUUGCUGCAAGAAGCAAAGUAAAAUGAUGCAGCUGGCGCAGCCGAGGAAAUUGGACCAACACAUUGCUGAUAGUAAGGCAUCAAUAAAACACUCUAUGAUGAAUUACGGUAAGAAGUUCAUAGUUCAGUAAGAUGAUCCCUUGUUCCCUGUGCAAAUUAGAUUUACUGGAAUCUUUUGUUUCUUGCUUGCUGAUUUCUGUAAAAUUAUAUGAAGUGAUGGGAUUAGCUAAGAAGCAGUGUUCUCCUUGUGCUUCCCCUGAAAUAUGUGUAGGAUGCUUCCCUCCAAGGACCGGGAUGCUGCUUGCUUGACUUAACAACACUGGCAGCUUCCAAAUUUUGGUUAAAAGCCCCCUUGACAAGAUCCAAUAUUUAACUCUCUGUGCCCAUUCUUAAAGACCACUGAAAAUAUUAUAUGGUCCUUGUAGGAUGCCUUCUGCAAAUGUAACCAGAAAGAUAUAUACACAAAUUUUAAUGCCAAAUUUAUCCUUCUUUUGGAUAAACAGGAGAGGGCUUCUGGGAACUUCAACAGAGAUAACUUUUUUUUUUUUUCUAUUAUUAACUCACUAUGAGGUCAUGCAUAUGGCAAAAAGUGAGUGAGUACCAGUGGCUGUGUGUUGAUUUACCAUCGGCAUCAGAGCUUACACCAUCCAACCUGGAAACCCAACUGUGUGCUCCAUCCAUCAACAACCCAGAGCCAGCCCCCACUGCAUCCCCAGUAGCCCUGCAGGCAGCAGCAGGCAGCAUCCACCAGGAGUUAGGUGCUGCUGGAGCAAGGCCAGAGGUGUGCAGACCUUCAAAGACUGUGGGUAUGCCUAACUGUAUUCAUGUUAGGUGCCCUUUGACUUCAGCCACAACAGAGGUGAUCCCAUCGCAAGUGAAGGAAACUUCCACAAGGAUAGCU